AGAGUGAACGGUGGCGGCAGGCCUAAUACAUGCAAGUCGAACGGCAGCACGGCAGAGCUUGCUCUGUGGGUGGCGAGUGGCGGACGGGUGAGGAAUACAUGGGAAUCUGCCCAGUCGUGGGGAUAACGUAGGGAAACUUACGCUAAAUACCGCAUGCGUCCCGUUCGGGGGAAAGCCCGGGGACCUUCGGGCCUGGCGCGAUUGGAUGACGCCCAUGUCGGAUUAGCUAGUUGGCGGGUAACGCCCACAAGGCGACGAUCCGUAGCUGGCUGAGAGGAUGAUCAGCCACACGUGAACUGAGACGACGGUACCACGACUCCGUACGGGAGGCGAGACGAGGUACGGGGAA
rnacentral:rRNA from 1 species